GAUGAACGCUGGCGGCGUGCCUAAUACAUGCAAGUCGAGCGAACGGACGAGAAGCUUGCUUCUCUGAUGUUAGCGGCGGACGGGUGAGUAACACGUGGAUCACCUACCUAUAAGACUGGGAUAACUUCGGGAAACCGGAGCUAAUCCCGGAUAAUAUUUUGCACCGCAUUGUUCAAAAGUGAAAGACGGUCUUGUUGUCACUUCUAGAUGGAUCCGCGCUGCAUUAGCUAGUUGUUAAGGUAACGGCUUACCAAGGCAACGAUGCAUAGCCGACCUGAGAGGGUGAUCGGCCACACUGGAACUGAGACACGGUCAAGACUCCUACGGGAGGCAGCAGUAGGGAAUCUUACGCAAUGGGCGAAAGCCUGACGGAGCAACGCCGCGUGAGUGAUGAAGGUCUUCGGAUCGUAAAACUCUGUUAUUAGGGAAGAACAUAUGUGUAAGUAACUGUGCACAUCUUGACGGUACCUAAUCAGAAAGCCACGGCUAACUACGUG
rnacentral:rRNA from 1 species